rnacentral:rRNA from 1 species
AUUGAACGCUGGCGGCAUGCCUAACACAUGCAAGUCGAGCGAGCGGCGGACGGGUGAGUAAUGUAUGGGGAUCUGCCCGAUAGAGGGGGAUACCUACUGGAAACGGUGGCUAAUACCGCAUACUAUCGGAUGAACCCAUAUGGGAUUAGCUAGUAGGUGGGGUAAAGGCUCACCUAGGCGACGAUCUCUAGCUGGUCUGCGAGGAUGAUCAGCCACACUGGGACUGAGACACGGUCCAGACUCCUACGGGAGGCAGCAGUGGGGAAUAUUGCACAAUGGGCGCAAGCCUGAUGCAGCCAUGCCGCGUGUAUGAAGAAGGCCUUAGGGUUGUAAAGUACUUUCAGCGGGGAGGCGUUACUCGAAGAAGAAGCGCCGGCUAACUCCGUGCCAGCAGCCGCGGUAAUUC